GAACUGGAGAAAUUGUUUUUAACUUACGCACUCCACUUAAUUUGGACAGUUGGAAAUGAAGAAAAUUAUCGAGUACAUACAUAAAACUGGAUUAUACAAAAGGAUAUAGGCAAUUACCAUUAAGUAAGAUGUGAAUAGCGAAUCACGAACAGUGGAGGGCAGCAAUACGCCAUAGACGUGUCUAGUCUGCCGGUCCAGCUGGUGGCGGAAUAGUAACCUACUGCUUGUGUUAAAAAAGGAACAGUGGAAGGGAAAUCAAAGCAGAUCAGCCAACCUAGCGAUCCUACGGACUACUGAUGGACUGGAUGCAGAAGCCAUGAUUCAAUGCUCAUCUGGUGGCAAGCAGCAUCAGCUAUGUCUGUCACCUCCUUCCUGCGAUAUGCCAUCAGGCUGGAGAGGAAACAUGUGGCCACACAUUUAGUUCAGCAGAGAGCUCUAUCAGGGGCAGAUGCUGUCAAUGCACUCAGACCGUUUUAUUUUGCAGUCCAUCCUGACUUCUUUGGUCAAUAUCCCAGGGAACGGGUAG